AGGUGAUAAGCGUUGUCCGGAUUUACUGGGCGUAAAGCGCACGCAGGCGGUUUGUUAAGUCAGAUGUGAAAUCCCCGGGCUCAACCUGGGAACUGCAUCUGAUACUGGCAAGGUUGAGUCUCGUAGAGGGGGGUAGAAUUCCAGGUGUAGCGGUGAAAUGCGUAGAGAUCUGGAGGAAUACCGGUGGCGAAGGCGGCCCCCUGGACGAAGACUGACGCUCAGGUGCGAAAGCGUGGGGAGCAA
rnacentral:rRNA from 1 species